GGGCCCGUAGCUCAGUCGGGAGAGCGCCGCCCUCGCAUGGCGGAGGUCACGAGUUCGAGUCUCGUCGGGUCCA
rnacentral:tRNA from 3 species